rnacentral:rRNA from 1 species
AGCUCCAAUAGCGUAUAUUAAAGUUGUUGCAGUUAAAAAGCUCGUAGUUGGAUUUCUGGUUUAGUGCGCUUGACCCGCCGCCGUUAGGCGUGUGAGUGUCGAUGCGCGCUUACCAUCCUUCUAGAGAACGUUUCUGCCCUUUACUGGGUUGGACUCGCAAUCUAGAACUUUUACUUUGAAAAAAUUAGAGUGUUUAAAGCAGGCUCGCGCUAUGAAUACACUAGCAUGGAAUAAUAACUUAGGACUUUAGUCUUAUUUUGUUGGUUUCUAGGACUGAAGUAAUGAUUGAUAGGGAUAGUUGGGGGUGCUAGUAUUCAGCGGCCAGAGGUGAAAUUCUUGGAUUCGCUGAAGACUAACUUAUGCGAAAGCAUUCACCAAGGAUGUCUUCUUUAAUCAAGAA